rfam:Gorilla gorilla gorilla genomic chromosome, chr3, whole genome shotgun sequence
GUGCUCACUGUGCCAGCACAUAUACUGAAAUUGGAGUGAUACAGAGAUUAGCAUGGCCCGUGCACAAGGAUGACAUGCAAAUGCAUGAAGUGGUCCAUUUCUUU